rnacentral:rRNA from 1 species
AGAGUUUGAUCCUGGCUNNNNNUGAACGCUGGCGGCAUGCUUUACACAUGCAAGUCGAACGGUAACAGGCCGCAAGGUGCUGACGAGUGGCGAACGGGUGAGUAAUGUAUCGGAACGUGCCCAGUCGUGGGGGAUAACGCAGCGAAAGCUGCGCUAAUACCGCAUACGAUCUAUGGAUGAAAGCGGGGGACCGUAAGGCCUCGCGCGAUUGGAGCGGCCGAUAUCAGAUUAGGUAGUUGGUGGGGUAAAGGCUCACCAAGCCAACGAUCUGUAGCUGGUCUGAGAGGACGACCAGCCACACUGGGACUGAGACACGGCCCAGACUCCUACGGGAGGCAGCAGUGGGGAAUUUUGGACAAUGGGCGCAAGCCUGAUCCAGCAAUGCCGCGUGCAGGAAGAAGGCCUUCGGGUUGUAAACUGCUUUUGUACGGAACGAAACGGUCCUGGUUAAUACCUGGGGCUAAUGACGGUACCGUAAGAAUAAGCACCGGCUAACUACGUGCCAGCAGCCGCGGUAAUAC